GGAUAACAUACCGAAAGGUAUGCUAAUACGGGAUAAUAUAUUUGAGAGGCAUCUCUUAAAUAUCAAAGGUGAGCCAGUACAGGAUGGACCCGCGUCUGAUUAGCUAGUUGGUAAGGCAACGGCUUACCAAGGCGACGAUCAGUAGCCGACCUGAGAGGGUGAUCGGCCACAUUGGAACUGAGACACGGUCCAAACUCCUACGGGAGGCAGCAGUGGGGAAUAUUGCACAAUGGGCGAAAGCCUGAUGCAGCAACGCCGCGUGAGUGAUGAAGGCCUUCGGGUCGUAAAACUCUGUCCUCAAGGAAGAUAAUGACGGUACUUGAGGAGGAAGCCCCGGCUAACUACGUGCCAGCAGCCGCGGUAAUACGUAGAGGGCUAGCGUUAUCCGGAUUUACUGGGCGUAAAGGGUGCGUAGGCGGUCUUUCAAGUCAGGAGUGAAAGGCUACGGCUCAACCGUAGUAAGCUCUUGAAACUGGGAGACUUGAGUGCAGGAGAGGAGAGUGGAAUUCCUAGUGUAGCGGUGAAAUGCGUAGAUAUUAGGAGGAACACCAGUUGCGAAGGCGGCUCUCUGGACUGUAACUGACGCUGAGGCACGAAAGCGUGGGGAGCAAACAGGAUUAGAUACCCUGGUAGUCCACGCUGUAAACGAUGAGUACUAGGUGUCGGGGGUUACCCCCUUCGGUGCCGCAG
rnacentral:rRNA from 1 species